rnacentral:rRNA from 1 species
AACGAACGCUGGCGGCAUGCCUAACACAUGCAAGUCGAACGAGACCUUCGGGUCUAGUGGCGCACGGGUGCGUAACGCGUGGGAAUCUGCCCUUGGGUUCGGAAUAACAGUGAGAAAUUACUGCUAAUACCGGAUGAUGUCUUCGGACCAAAGAUUUAUCGCCCAGGGAUGAGCCCGCGUAGGAUUAGCUAGUUGGUGGGGUAAUGGCCUACCAAGGCGACGAUCCUUAGCUGGUCUGAGAGGAUGAUCAGCCACACUGGGACUGAGACACGGCCCAGACUCCUACGGGAGGCAGCAGUGGGGAAUAUUGGACAAUGGGCGCAAGCCUGAUUCAGCAAUGCCGCGUGAGUGAUGAAGGCCUUAGGGUUGUAAAGCUCUUUUACCCGGGAUGAUAAUGACAGUACCGGGAGAAUAAGCUCCGGCUAACUCCGUG